rnacentral:lncRNA from 1 species
AAUCAGAAAAGCUCCAUCUGAAUCUCAUAUCCUCUUCCUCGAUUUCCAGCUUAAUACAAUCUUCAAAUCUAGGCAUGUCUUUCUUGCUUUCCAAGUGGUUUUCCGAGCAUGUUUUCUUGUUUUGCCCUUCCUUUUUCCUUCAAUUUACAGUUCUGUUACCCUUUCCCAAUUUGUUGUUUGAUAGGCACUAAUCAGUAAGCAAUCUCCCUGUUCUUGUUGUAAUCCAUUUUUUUUUCUUCUUCUUUUCGGUUAGUGCAUAAAUUUGGAAAUUGAAUUUUUUUAGUUAUUUCUCCAUUUUUUUUUUUUGAGCUGUUGUUUUUAAUUGCAGACAACAGAAAAAAAUUGUAAUUGAUUGUCUUCAUGGGUGUUGAGUGAUUUACCCUCAUCAUAUUAUGUCAUUAAUUUUAUGAUUUUGCUAUCUUGGAGAGUAUUUUAGAAGUGCUAACAAGUGAUUUUGGUGUUGUUUUGUAGAUUGAUGGAAGUCGAGAAAACAAGAGCUAAAAGAGGUCAAAGGAAGGAAAUAAGCAAAAGCUCGCGAAAUUGGAUGAAAUGACCAAAACGUGAGAGACCCAAAUUUCGAUGAUUAAAAUGCAAUUAAUCAAAAGUCUUGUCGGAAUUUGAAAUGAAGAUCCGAGAGUUCUAGAAGCCAAUUGGAUGUGUCAAAGGGAUCAAAUUUAGUCAAGAUAUGAUCAUAAAUCAUUUUCCAAUCAAAAAGUUUUGCGCUGGAAUUUUGGUCUCACAUUUAGACUCAUUUUUUAUAUAGAAAACGAUCAAAU